GAGACAUAAGGAUUCAGAGAGGUGACACAUUACCUGAGCUGCAGCAGUGCAACAAGUGUUACAGCAAUUACCAGCAGUUUUCUGCUUGACCAGCAUGUUUAAGCCAGCCAAACUGGUCAAAUUAAAAAGUCAUCUUCAAAUCCACUUCAACAAGGCAGUUGUCUGUGGAGUGUGACAUUCCAAUCAUGGACUCUUAUUCUUCUGGAGAACUUUGGCGUUUUCUCUGAAAGUGCAGAAACCCUACAAGAGGCCCUUCCAAUUGGAUAACAGGCUAUGCUUGUGAGGAGAUCCCAGUAAUCUCACAGAAGUUGUGAAAUGGCUCCAUUAAACAGACAUCUGCUCAGGGGGCCAGUGGAAGAGCCUCUUUUCCUUAUAAUGGAGGAAGAGGACAAGGAAAAGGCCCUCAACAAUCUCCUGGAACAGAAGUUUCCAGAGUGCCCUUCAUAUUU